CACUCCUGCGGGAGGCAGCAGUGGGGAAUUUUGGACAAUGGGCGAAAGCCUGAUCCAGCCAUGCCGCGUGCAGGAUGAAGGCCUUCGGGUUGUAAACUGCUUUUGUACGGAACGAAACGGCCUUUUCUAAUAAAGAGGGCUAAUGACGGUACCGUAAGAAUAAGCACCGGCUAACUACGUGCCAGCAGCCGCGGUAAUACGUAGGGUGCAAGCGUUAAUCGGAAUUACUGGGCGUAAAGCGUGCGCAGGCGGUUAUGUAAGACAGUUGUGAAAUCCCCGGGCUCAACCUGGGAACUGCAUCUGUGACUGCAUAGCUAGAGUACGGUAGAGGGGGAUGGAAUUCCGCGUGUAGCAGUGAAAUGCGUAGAUAUGCGGAGGAACACCGAUGGCGAAGGCAAUCCCCUGGACCUGUACUGACGCUCAUGCACGAAAGCGUGGGGACCAAACAGGAUUAGAUACCCCAGUAGUCCCAUGAU
rnacentral:rRNA from 1 species